rnacentral:rRNA from 1 species
GACGAACGCUGGCGGCGUGCCUAAUACAUGCAAGUAGAACGCUGAAGAGAGGAGCUUGCUCUUCUUGGAUGAGUUGCGAACGGGUGAGUAACGCGUAGGUAACCUGCCUUGUAGCGGGGGAUAACUAUUGGAAACGAUAGCUAAUACCGCAUAACAAUGGAUGACACAUGUCAUUUAUUUGAAAGGGGCAAUUGCUCCACUACAAGAUGGACCUGCGUUGUAUUAGCUAGUAGGUGAGGUAAUGGCUCACCUAGGCGACGAUACAUAGCCGACCUGAGAGGGUGAUCGGCCACACUGGGACUGAGACACGGCCCAGACUCCUACGGGAGGCAGCAGUAGGGAAUCUUCGGCAAUGGGGGCAACCCUGACCGAGCAACGCCGCGUGAGUGAAGAAGGGUUUCGGAUCGUAAAGGUCUGUUGUAAGUCAAGAACGGGUGUGAGAGUGGAAAGUUCACACUGUGACGGUAGCUUAACAGAAAGGGACGGCUAACUACGUG